rnacentral:rRNA from 1 species
AAAUUGAAGAGUUUGAUCAUGGCUCAGAUUGAACGCUGGCGGCAGGCCUAACACAUGCAAGUCGAGCGGCAGCGGAAAGUAGCUUGCUACUUUGCCGGCGAGCGGCGGACGGGUGAGUAAUGUCUGGGAAACUGCCUGAUGGAGGGGGAUAACUACUGGAAACGGUAGCUAAUACCGCAUAAYGUCGCAAGACCAAAGAGGGGGACCUUCGGGCCUCUUGCCAUCAGAUGUGCCCAGAUGGGAUUAGCUAGUAGGUGGGGUAAUGGCUCACCUAGGCGACGAUCCCUAGCUGGUCUGAGAGGAUGACCAGCCACACUGGAACUGAGACACGGUCCAGACUCCUACGGGAGGCAGCAGUGGGGAAUAUUGCACAAUGGGCGCAAGCCUGAUGCAGCCAUGCCGCGUGUAUGAAGAAGGCCUUCGGGUUGUAAAGUACUUUCAGCGGGGAGGAAGGCGGUGAGGUUAAUAACCUCAUCGAUUGACGUUACCCGCAGAAGAAGCACCGGCUAACUCCGUGCCAGCAGCCGCGGUAAUACGG